rnacentral:tRNA from 1 species
UAGUGUAGUGGUCAGCACUCUGGACUUUGAAUCCAGCAACUCGGGUUCGACUCCCGA